GCACUGCUGAGGAGUCGCAUGCUAGGACGAAACAGCUGUCCAGUGC
rnacentral:hammerhead_ribozyme from 1 species